rnacentral:lncRNA from 1 species
GAGAGAGGCUGCAGCCACAGAAGAGAGAGGUAGAGGGGAGAGAAGGGGAGAUCUCACAGAGAGGCAGAAGGAGGCAGUGCUGAAGGAAAAAAAAAGCGCCUGUGGUUGACGGGGAUGGAGUCGCGUACCAUAAAAUUUACCUGAGAAUGGCUGCACCCGAUGACUUCUCGCUCAUGAGGAGGCCUGCUAAAUAAGGUGGUGAUCACUUCCGAAGGGAAUUCAUAAUGAGAAAACAUCAGUCCUAAAGCAGAUCUGAUGCCUUGAGGAUAAUCAUGGGUCACUUUGAGGAUUCUGGUGCCUGGUAUUUUCGUAGACCCCAAUGGUGCACCAAUGGAUCAUGGUGAAAUGUUCCAAAAAAUGGGAUGUUAAUCACUGGACAUGUGUCAGUUCCUCAGUUUUGGAGUAUAGGCACUUUCAACUUUCCACUGACUGAAUGUUUUUGCCACUUCUUCUGGAUACUCAACAGAAGAGCUACUGGUCCUACAGUGGAGAACAAUGGAGGAGGCGAGGGCUGUUUAAAAAAUCAGGCCUGUCUUGCCACUCCACCAUGGGGGAUAAGGCUCAAGAGCCCAAGGGGAAGUGUAUCGAUCCUGACCAAAGUGUAUUUUGGCAGCACUGUGGUUCGUGCUCAUGGCUGAUUGAGGAUCAGGCCUAGCCUGCAGGCCAUAAUGAAGAGAACUGAUGUAGGAUGUUAAACCACUGAUCACCUAUCAGUCCCAUAAUCUAGAGAAUGAAGCAAGCCCUGUCUCUACCUUUGAGUACACUUUAGCACACACAUUCAAGGUGCUAACUUGCUAGCUGUACACUGCAUUGCUUUUCUUACUUAGAUUUUUGUCUUCUUUCUAGUCCAAAUAUUUAAAAAUGCUUAUGUCAAGAAGCAUUUUCUAGGCAAGUAAAACACAUUGUCUUGUUUGAAGAAAUAAUAAGCUUUUUCCUUAAAACAAGCAAAAUAAUCAGCCAAUGGUGUAAGCAAAAUAAUCUUAUGUCAAAAAGAAAAACAAGAUUAUUUUGCUUACCCCAUUUGGCUGAUUAUAUUGCUUGUUUUAAGGAAAGCCUCUCUUAAUUGUGGCAUAUUAUUUCUUAAAACAGGUCAAUAUGUUUUGCUUGUCUAGAAUAUUUUGCUUGAUUGAAGAAUUUUCAGAUAUUUGGACUAGAAACAAGACAAAAAAAGUCUAAGUAAGAGAAUAAUUUUAUGUAGUGUAGUGCCUUAAAUUCCAACUAGCAUCUAAACCAAAAACAAUAAUGAAUACAAAUAUGUUGAAGAGUGUUGAGACUGCCAAAAACUUUGUUCACCGACAAAUACUGUCAAUAAUUUCUAAAGUUGUUCCAAACUCUUUCUAAAACUUAUCUAUCUAGAGUUAUCUAUCAGAUGGUAAUAGCUGAUUUUCUCAAGUUUAGAUAAAACUGCAAGUUGGGCAAUCUGCUAAAUAUCUGUUAAAUAUUUUGUGUUUCAUGCAAGAAAAGGUUUGGGGUGAGUUUUAUUUCUGGCUGAACUAUCCCUUUAAGUGUUUACACAGACACACCGCAGGUUAUUAGCGUGAUUAUGUUACCCGUGUCUGAUUCAUUGCAGUAGGUGUUACAUUAGGCCAAUUGAGGUGUGCUGUGACUCAAAAAUACCAAACACUUUCCUCAUACACUUUUCCCAGAUCCUUCAUCAUUUCGGUUUAAAACAGGGUUUUGGCCACUAGGACAUAUUUGAGUGAUGGAUACUGCAUAGACCAAUUCAAUGUGGUGGUGUCAUUGGUCCAAGAAAAGUUCCUGCUUGUUGUCAAACUAUUUCAUAACUGUAACAAGAGGCAGUUCAAUGAUAACUUUACGUUAAAACACCUGCCAUAGGAUUAUUUAUUAACACUUGGAAUUUUUAAUCAAUGGAUUCUCGGAAGCUAUAGAAAUUAAAAAUGUAAAACAGGAAAUUUGUUAGGACCAUUGUUAUUGUUUACAUCCCUCAAAACGGUCUAUAUCAAAUAAAACAUAUUUUUAUGC